rnacentral:rRNA from 1 species
CAAGGAAUUUUCCCCAAUGGGCGCAAGCCUGAGGGAGCAACGCCGCGUGCAGGACGACGGCUUUCGGGUUGUAAACUGCUUUUGCGUGGGACGAUAACGACGGUACCACGCGAAUAAGCCCCGGCUAACUCUGUGCCAGCAGCCGCGGUAAUACAGAGGGGGCAAGCGUUGUCCGGACUUACUGGGCGUAGGCGGUUUAUUAAGUCAGUGGUGAAAGCCCACAGCUCAACUGUGGAAUUGCCAAUGAAACUGGUAGACAUGAGUACAGUCGAGGUAGGCGGAAUUUAUGGUGUAGCGGUGAAAUGCAUAGAUACCAUAAAGAACCCCGAUAGCGAAGGCAGCUUACUAGAGUGUAACUGACGCUGAGGCACGAAAGCGUGGGGAGCGAACAGGAUUAGAUACCCGUGUAGUCC